rnacentral:rRNA from 1 species
AUUGAACGCUGGCGGCGUGCUUAACACAUGCAAGUCGUGCGGUAACAGGCGUAGCAAUACGUGCUGACGAGCGGCGAACGGGUGCGUAAUACAUGGGAAUCUGCCCUUUAGUGGGGAAUAACCCGGCGAAAGCCGGGCUAAUGCCGCAUAAGAUCUUCGGAUGAAAGCGGGGGAUCGUAAGACCUCGCGCUGAUGGAUGAGCCCAUGUCGGAUUAGCAGUUGGUGAGGUAACGGCUCACCAAGGCGACGAUCCGUAGCUGGUCUGAGAGGACGGCCAGCCACACUGGGACUGAGACACGGCCCAGACUCCUACGGGA